rnacentral:rRNA from 1 species
UACGGAGGGUGCGAGCGUUGUCCGGAAUCACUGGGCGUAAAGGGCGCGUAGGCGGUCUGCUAAGCGUGCGGUGAAAGCCUGGGGCUCAACCCCAGGUCUGCCGUGCGAACUGGUGGACUAGAGCACUGUAGAGGCAGGUGGAAUUCCGGGUGUAGCGGUGGAAUGCGUAGAGAUCCGGAAGAACACCGGUGGCGAAGGCGGCCUGCUGGGCAGUUGCUGACGCUGAGGCGCGACAGCGUGGGGAGCAAAC